rnacentral:lncRNA from 1 species
CCGUGGAUGUGCAGGGACAGGGGCAGUAGCAGAGGCCCUGGGGCGAAGCGGGUGACCCCGUGCUGUGUGUGGGUGUUGGGGGGUGGGGUCUGGGGCCUGAGCAGGUGGCCAUAGGCCGGGGUCCCCAGCGCCAGGUGUUGGGACCUUCUGCCUCGGCCUGCUCUGGCCUGCCUUCCUGAUCGGCCCCUGAGCCUUUCCUCCUCCAUCCACGCUACCCUCAUCUCCGCCAGCGGGUCUCCCAGCUCCACCACUAAUUAACUCUCCCGAGACACACACACACACACACACACACACACACACACACACACACGCGCGCGCGCACCUGCCCCCAUGCUCUGCUCCCCUGCUCGAGCCCUGAGUUAAAUGAGGCCUGGGCCAGCUCCCCUGUCUGUUCCCCAGUGUCACCAGCGUUGCCAGCAGCCUGGUGACCCUGGAUGUUGGCCCCAGCCGCCCUGUGUUCUCCACGCUGGCUCAUGUUGUGUAACCAGCAUGCCUGGGUGUCACCUCCUCGCCUGCUCUUGAGGCCUCUGCCCUGUGCCCUGAACAUGCCAGGACCAGGGGCGACUGAGUCAUGCCCCAGAGGAUGCCGAGUUCUGUAAGUCUCCCCAGUCCCUGCCUGCCUCCCUGAUGAGCCUGGGCCGUGUCCUGCGGGCCCUGAGCUGCGCCCUCCUCUGCCCUGGCCCGGGAGGGGGAUGGGUUUGUCACACAUGCACACUUGCACACACGUGCACAUGCACACCCACAACCUUGGGCUCCGUUGCAGCAGCAGCCAGGUGGGGAGGACAUCCCUGGCGUCCAGCCUGCAACUGCUGAGCAGCGCAUGUCCUGCUGUCUGUCCUCCAUGGUACUGCUGUCAGCCAAGGACAUUGGCACCGCGAGUCCAGAGAGCUUGGCUGAGAAGAUUUUCCCAAGCGAUCGCAGGAGGAAGACAAAGGAGACGGUCUGGAAAGCACAACGCUGUGAGUGUUGGGUGAAAAGGGAGCACAGGCUGAGGGCGUGGGCCUGGGAACCCAUGGAUCUGCAGAGGUCCAUGACACUGACUGCCAACGCAGGCAGUGAGGAGUGAACCCCACACCUGGCUGUUCACAGGAGCGAGUCUGGCUGAAGCUUGCAUGCCGAGGUCAGAGUCACUCACACCCAAAUUCUGUUCUCACAGCUAAAACCUCUUGACUAGGAGGACAGUGUUCUAAUUGCGAUCACUUGUUUACUCUGAUCCUAAUUCGAGAUCGCUCUGUCUCGUCCCUUGUGAGCCUUCUUAACAUUAAUUUCCAUAGAAACCACACAGCGCCUUUACCCCAGCUGAUUGCCAGUAAAAGUCAGUGCCUGGGACCGGCCAGGGCCUUAGUCAGCUGCACCGGCCUCAGGCGUCCUGCCCCCCCCCCC